rnacentral:lncRNA from 1 species
CCACCAAUAAAUCUCUCUCAUGCUCAUCAAAUUCCCACUCUCUCUCUCAUUCCAAAUUUCCCAAUUGCUUUUUCCUGCUUUUAGGAGAAGAAUUCCAACUAGGCAUGCUGUCAUCAACCAUUUUCAAUAUCUUAACAUGUGGAAUAAAAUGAGGCCAUGAGGGAGGGAAGAAGAUAUAAUUGGAUUUGAUUAUAUAUAUAUAUAUAUAUAUAUAUAUAUGCAUAUGGUGGGUUGGUUUGAUUGAUUGAUUUUAUCUAAUUCCAUUUCAUUUAUCCCCUAUAAGGGUUGAUAGCUUGACAUAGGAUCAUAAAAUGGUGGCCCCUACCACAAGCAACCUCCCCCAAAAGAAAACCCUAUUUCCAAUCCACUCCAUCUUUGCUUCCCUUCUGGACUAAUCUCCAAACUAAUCUCAAUAUUUUAUCAAUCCACAAGAGAAAGCCAAAUUUGACUGAGGCAGCAAACCAU